rnacentral:misc_RNA from 1 species
GGCCUGGCCUGGUUAAGGUUGCAGCUGGUUCAUUGGUUUGCUUCUCGCUAGAUGAGAAGCAAGCAGGGAUACCUAGUGAAUCAUGCAUGAUACUCUACCAAAAAGGUUCAAAUUACACAAUUAACUAGCUAAAGGUGAACAAAGAAACAUGAAUAGAAUAGCUGGAUGAUCAAGAUCUUCUCAUAUAUAUAUGCUGUCAGAUGUUUUCUGGAAAGCUUGGAAUCAUCAACUCAACAACCUCACUUCCAUAAUUUAUGCCUUGUUUGCUUCCAAACUAGCAGUUUUGAAGGAGAAGAGGAGCGAGAAAUGAGGGAAAAGCUGCACAUUUCAUACUCAAUUAUAUUCAGAACGU